rnacentral:rRNA from 1 species
CUAUACAUGCAGUCGAGCGGACAGAAGGGAGCUUGCUCCCGGAUGUUAGCGGCGGACGGGUGAGUAACACGUGGGUAACCUGCCUGUAAGACUGGGAUAACUCCGGGAAACCGGAGCUAAUACCGGAUAGUUCCUUGAACCGCAUGGUUCAAGGAUGAAAGACGGUUUCGGCUGUCACUUACAGAUGGACCCGCGGCGCAUUAGCUAGUUGGUGAGGUAACGGCUCACCAAGGCGACGAUGCGUAGCCGACCUGAGAGGGUGAUCGGCCACACUGGGACUGAGACACGGCCCAGACUCCUACGGGAGGCAGCAGUAGGGAAUCUUCCGCAAUGGACGAAAGUCUGACGGAGCAACGCCGCGUGAGUGAUGAAGGUUUUCGGAUCGUAAAGCUCUGUUGUUAGGGAAGAACAAGUGCAAGAGUAACUGCUUGCACCUUGACGGUACCUAACCAGAAAGCCACGGCUAACUACGUGCCAGCAGCCGCGGUAAUACGUAGGUGGCAAGCGUUGUCCGGAAUUAUUGGGCGUAAAGGGCUCGCAGGCGGUUUCUUAAGUCUGAUGUGAAAGCCCCCGGCUCAACCGGGGAGGGUCAUUGGAAACUGGGAAACUUGAGUGCAGAAGAGGAGAGUGGAAUUCCACGUGUAGCGGUGAAAUGCGUAGAGAUGUGGAGGAACACCAGUGGCGAAGGCGACUCUCUGGUCUGUAACUGACGCUGAGGAGCGAAAGCGUGGGGAGCGAACAGGAUUAGAUACCCUGGUAGUCCACGCCGU